rnacentral:rRNA from 1 species
UACGGGAGGCAGCAGGGGGAAUAUUGCACAAUGGGCGAAAGCCUGAUGCAGCUAUGCCGCGUGUAUGAAGAAGGCCUUAGGGUUGUAAAGUACUUUCAUCGGGGAGGAAAAACAAAACUAAUAAUUUUAUUUCUUGACGUUACCCGAAAAAGAAGCACCGGCUAACUCCGUGCCAGCAGCCGCGGUAAUACGGAGGGUGCUAGCGUUAAUCAGAAUUACUGGGCGUAAAGAGCACGUAGGUGGUUUUUUUAAAGUCAGAUGUGAAAUCCCUGGGCUUAACCUGGAACUGCAUUUUGAAACUGAAAUACUAGAGUAUCGUAGAGGGAGGUAGAAUUCUAGGUGUAGCGGUGAAAUGCGUAGAUAUCUGGAGGAAUACCUGUGGCGAAAGCGGCCUCCUAAACGAAUACUGACACUGAGGUGCGAAAGCGUGGGGAGCAAACAGGGAUUAGAUACC